UGUAGAGGUUUGUGGGUUUGUGACUCCUGGGUCAGUGCCUUGCUUUCUCAAGGCCCUUUUCUGGCGCUUAUGUUCCCCAAGAGGGUCUGGGGCUCUGGACCAUGCACACAACAACAGGCUGACCAAUGGAGAUUCACUUUCCAUUCUGGUCCCUUGGCAGGAAGAGAAGCUGACAGGAUAACGCCCAGUCCCGAGAUGCAGCAGGCAGGCUGUCUGUUGGAACCAGCAGCACCUGAAGGAUCUCAGCGGAGAAGAUGGCUGCUGGUUCCAACAGAUGGCACUCAAAGCCUGAAGCUAUUCUUCAGUGACUUUGCAGCUAUCUUUUCCUUGUGACUUCUGUGAUUCGCUCCUGAGGCAGUUGGGCCUCACAUGAAAUGAGAUCCUUGUGGGCAGAGAAUAGGCCUGGGUCUCUCCGGAUGCCUUGUGUGAAAUACUGCCAGUCACCAAGAAGGGACAGAGGACCUCAGUCAACACCCUGAUGGAUGCCUUGGAAAUGCUGGGGCAAAGAGUGACAAAAGAGACCAUUCAAGAGGGCCUGCUGAACUCAGGAAAGUAUUAACAUGUUUAUGAAGAAAGUGAGACAGGCUCUGCUGUGCCCUGAGUGUUUGAGGACCUCAGUCUUUCAGCUCAGGACACACUCCUAAUAGGCUUCUAGUUUUUAUUUGUAUUGGUUUGAAAUUUGUCAUUCAUGGUAAUAGGUAUGCAUUUUAUGAUGUAACUUAUAAUGAAAGCGUUAGUCACUGAGUCAUGUCCAACUCUUUGCGACCCUAUGGACUGUAGCCCACCAGGCUCUUCUGUCCAUGGGGUUU